GCGGCCUCGAGCUGCAGUUCAAAGCCUCGGCCUUAGGGUACCUGUGUACUCAGCACGAGCGUUGUCUGCUGGAGGGUGAGACCUUGUGAGGCAGAGCUGAGUAAGCCCAUCUGGCUCAGCCAAGUUCCCAGCUAUGCUGUGGAGUCUAGCCAAGAUCAGAAAAUGUUCCUAUCUGGCUUGAAGCUGACUACAGACGCGUGAGCCCACGGGAGCCGCCUGCCAACGGGGCAGAACAAGUGAAGACAUCUGCCAUUUACAUUCUGUUCUGGCCAAAGGAUGGUGGCCGCAGUGGACUGUUCGCCCUCGUGGUACAUUCGUCUUUCCGGCUGGCACACAUCGAGGACGGAUAGUGACUGGCGACCACUUACUGAGUCUUUCCGGCUUGCGUGCAUUGAGGAGGGAUAGUGACUGGCGACCACUUACUGAGUCUUUCCGGCUUGCGUGCAUCGAGGAGGGAUAGUGACUGGCGACCACUUACUGAGUCUUUCCGGCUUGCGUGCAUCGAGGAGGGAUAGUGACUGGCGACCACUUACUGAGUCUUUCCGGCUGGCGUACAUUGAGGAGGGAUGGUAACUGUCGACCACUUCAGCAGGACACUGUGCUAGAUCCUUUUCCAUCAAUUAUUUCUAUUAAUUAAUGAAUUGAUUCCGUCGGUUGUUCAACCUUCAUGAAUUGAGUACCAAGCCCUUUUCUAUUUCUUUUACAUUCCUCACAGUAACCUUAGGAUGGGGAUAUACAUGCUUAUUCCCCAUUUACAGCAGAGGAAACAAACUUAGAGAAGGUGAGUAAAGUGCCCCGAGUCAAGCAGCAUGAAGUGUGUAAGUCAGGAAUUAAACCCACAGGCAGGGUGUCUAAUUCAGCAAGUCGCUGGACAUAACACAAAACGGGAAAGACCUGAUGAUAGUUUAGCCAAGGCUAGUCUUGGAUGUGAACAGAGUGAGUAGGGUGAAUAGUGUGAAUAGAGUGAAUAGAGUGUGGUGUAAUUUUGUAAUUCUUAGGAGAAUCCCAUGUCCCAAAUCAUUUAUACUUGAUGCUGUAGUGCCUAAACUCCACAAAUGGAAGUGCUUUCCUUCAGAGUGCUACACUGGCAGCAUCUGCCCUAAGUUCAGAAUUUCCAUUAAAUUUAAAGCUGGAUUUUUAGAAGCUUUCUACAUGUUUCACAGGCAUCUCAAAUUCGAGGUGUCUAAAACUGAACUUCAUUAGUUAUUGGGAAAUGCAAGUCAAAACCACAAUGAAAUAGAUUGCACUUCACAUUCUUUAAGAUGCCUAGGGAAAAAAAAAGACAG